GCUCCGCUGGCGCAAUGGUAGCGCGCCAGACUUCUAAUCUGGAGGGUAAGCAACUCUCUUGCAACGCCUACCUUACAUCCAUCUAACAACUUCAAUAGUUGUGGGUUCGAGUCCCACGCGGAGUG